GGUCUUUCAGGUUGUGGUGACCAACACUGUCCCUCAUGAGGUGCAAAAGCUGCAGUGUCCUAAGAUCAAGACAGUGGAUGUCAGUAUGAUCCUGGCCGAGGCUAUCCGACGCAUCCACAACGGGGAGUCCAUGGCCUACCUGUUCCGCAAUAUCACAGUAGACGACUAGCCAACAAACACAUUUACAUUAGAGACAAAGAUCACUGACGGAUGGAGAAAACGUGCACCAGCACUGCCCCUGUACUCCCUCUGUGUGCAUUUGUCUCAGCCGUCGAGCCGUCGGUCAGUGUUCGUUUGAAGCACAGCUACACUUCUUUCUUUUAACAUCGUCUUCCACUUCUCUGUGUUCCUCAAUUGUGCAUCAACUAGCCCGUUUCCCAGUGCCUCACUCUGUGAGAGUGAGGGAGCGUGGUUGCUAUGGCAACCUUAUUCAGAGCUGUUCUAGCUAUAUUUUUGCAUUAGUGCAAAUAUGGUCCAGUCUUACGGAGAACAUACGUUUUUGCUACAGUGUAUUGAAUCUGCUGUUGGUUUGCAGUCUUAUUUUUGUAAAUAAACACAAGUGAUUUGCUU